UAUCUCUGUAGAGUCUGCAUAUCAAUAAGCGGAGGAAAAGAAACUAACUAGGAUUCCCUCAGUAACGGCGAGUGAAGCGGGAAGAGCUCAAAUUUGAAAUCUUCAAGGUUCUACCUUGACGAAUUGUAGUUUAAAGAAGUGUUUUCUGUUGGAUGUUUUGGUAAAAGUUCUUUGGAAUAGGACAUCAUAGAGGGUGAGAAUCCCGUAUUUGACCAUUAUCUUCCAGCGUUGUGAUACACUUUCAAAGAGUCGGAUUGUUUGGGAAUGCAGUCCAAAAUGGGUGGUAAAUUUCAUCUAAAGCUAAAAUAUUGGCGAGAGACCGAUAGCGAACAAGUACCGUGAGGGGAAAGAUGAAAAGAACUUUGAAAAGAGAGUUAAACAGUACGUGAAAUUGUCAAAAGGGAAGCGUUUGACACCAGUGUUGUUUUCUCGAAAAUCAAUUAAAAAAAGGCAGGAUUUUGUGUUGUAUUGACUUUAUCAGCUUUCUGCACUCUUUUCUUGUCUUUUUUAAUGCACUUUUCGUUUAACAAGUCAACAUCAAUUUCUUUUGUUGUAAAAGGGUCAUUGGAAGGUGGCUUUCUUUUCGGAGAAAGUGUUUAUAGCCUUUGGCCUCUGCAAUCGGAGAGAUUGAGGUCUGCAGCGUAGAUCCUUCGGGGUUAGAUACAUUUGUGCUAAGUUAUAGCCUUUCAUAGACAACUUGUUGACUAUGAUCAGUCAUGUAGCUUACUCGCUUAUGCUAUUUUACCUACGCUUAGGAUGUUGACGAUCAGCUGAGCGCG
rnacentral:rRNA from 1 species